rnacentral:rRNA from 1 species
GAUGAACGCUGACAGAAUGCUUAACACAUGCAAGUCAACCGGAAGGUGGGUUUUUAACUUUGGCUGGUGUGGCGGACGGGUGAGUAAGGCGUAAAGAACUUGCCUCACAGCUAGGCACAACUAUUGUAAACGAAUGCUAAUACCUACUAUUAUGUUAUUAGAGCAUCCUAUAAUUAUGAAAGCUAUCAGCGCUGUGAGCACGCUUCGCUUCACAUUAGCUAGUUGGAGAGGUAACGGCUUAACAAGGCAACGAUGGAUAGCCGACAUGAGAGGGUGAUCGGCCACACUGGAACUGAGAAGCGGUCCAGACUCCUACGGGAGGCAGCAGUAGGGAAUCUUCCGCAAUGGGCGAAAGCCUGACGGAGCAACGCCGCGUGAGUGAUGAAGGUCUUCGGAUCGUAAAACUCUGUUAGUAGGGAAGAACAUAUGUGUAAGUAACUGUGCACAUCUUGACGGUACCUAAUCAGAAAGCCACGGCUAACUACGUG